CUCAUUAAAUCAGUUAUCGUUUAUUUGAUAGUACCUUACUACUUGGAUAACAGUGGUAAUUCUAGAGCUAAUACAUGCUUAAAACCCCGACUUCGGAAGGGGUGUAUUUAUUAGAUAAAAAACCAAUGCCCUUCGGGGCUCCUUGGUGAUUCAUGAUAACUUAACGAAUCGCAUGGCCUUGCGCCGGCGAUGGUUCAUUCAAAUUUCUGCCCUAUCAACUUUCGAUGGUAGGAUAGUGGCCUACCAUGGUAUCAACGGGUAACGGGGAAUUAGGGUUCUAUUCCGGAGAGGGAGCCUGAGAAACGGCUACCACAUCCAAGGAAGGCAGCAGGCGCGCAAAUUACCCAAUCCCGACACGGGGAGGUAGUGACAAUAAAUACUGAUACAGGGCUCUUUUGGGUCUUGUAAUUGGAAUGAGUACAAUUUAAAUACCUUAACGAGGAACAAUUGGAGGGCAAGUCUGGUGCCAGCAGCCGCGGUAAUUCCAGCUCCAAUAGCGUAUAUUAAAGUUGUUGCAGUUAAAAAGCUCGUAGUUGAACCUUGGGCCUGGCUGGCCGGUCCGCCUCACCGCGUGUACUGGUCCGGCCGGGCCUUUCCUUCUGGGGAUCCGCAUGCCCUUCGCUGGGUGUGCCGGGGAACCAGGACUUUUACUUUGAAAAAAUUAGAGUGUUCAAAGCAGGCCUUUGCUCGAAUACAUUAGCAUGGAAUAAUAGAAUAGGACGUGCGGUCCUAUUUUGUUGGUUUCUAGGACCGCCGUAAUGAUUAAUAGGGAUAGUCGGGGGCAUCAGUAUUCAAUUGUCAGAGGUGAAAUUCUUGGAUUUAUUGAAGACUAACUACUGCGAAAGCAUUUGCCAAGGAUGUUUUCAUUAAUCAGUGAACGAAAGUUAGGGGAUCGAAGACGAUCAGAUACCGUCGUAGUCUUAACCGUAAACUAUGCCGACUAGGGAUCGGGCGAUGUUAUCAUUUUGACUCGCUCGGCACCUUACGAG
rnacentral:rRNA from 1 species